GACCGAGGGACGGACCGAGGCUGGCUGGCUCAGGGUAGGAGUGACAGAGCAACGGACAGGUGGGAGCAGUUAGACAGCUUGAGACAGGGAGACUGGAACGCAGAGAGAGGGAGAGAGAGAACGAAAGAGAGAGAGAGUGUGUGAGAAAAAGAGAGAGAGCGUAGCACUCGCGUGCUCCCUCCCUUCCAGACGCCCUCCUCUGUCCGAGGGAAGCAACCGGGACACUGGUGGGAGAGGGAGAGAGAUGCGGGCUCAGAAGACGGGAAGAGGGACCCUGCAUCGCUAGGCGGACCGAGACGCGGAGGGACGGACAGAUUGACUUAUGCACGGACUGACAGCCAGCGAGAGUGGCAGCUCGGAGAGCGGAGCGCAGGAAAGCUAGAAUCCCGCGCUGAGCUGCCAGGCUGAGCCACAGACGGUCAGACAAACAGACGUGCAGAGGGACAGACUGGCAGACAGGAGGUGGGGGCACGUUCACUCCCUGCAGCCAGCCGGGCAGAGAAGGCGGCGGCGGCUCCCCCUGAGCGCGUCCGGAGCUGCGACAAGCAGCAGGGGCAGUAGGGUCGCCAGCCGAAGCCACCACCGUCGCCGCAGCCUUGGCCGCCACAGCCCUGCGAGGAUCCCAGCCGACGCUGCAGAAAGCUCGUUUACCAGCAGUUAAAUAAAUCGACCAAAAAAAAAAAAAAAGCCAAGCCAAACCAAACAAAUCCAGCCAAAUCAAUCAUUGAGAAAUAAUAAUAUUAAUAAAAGCCAAAAACUAAAUCAAAUCAAUCAAGGCACCAAGACGCUGGGGGGAUAUCCACUGUUCGGUCAAGAUACUAGACCUUACAGUACUUGGAAGCUGCUCCCCUGUUGGUCAGGCGUGAAUGCUGUCUGGUCAAAUCAGAAGCCUGUCCCAAAAGUCUGCUACUGGUCUGAGGAGUCUGCUUUUUCAACUACCUUGGGUGAGCAGAGAAGAAUUUGGCUGAGGAAUGUAGAGAAGAUCCCCUCUCCUCACUCUUUCUCUGAUUCAACUUGUGGAACAGACAGGGGAGAACAAGAGUCCAAUCCAAAUCUUAGAAACAGAGAGGCUUCCCUCAGGUUCAGUGCUCACCAGCUCCCUCUUUUGUUGGACUCUGGUGAUGUUCCCACAGAAAUUCUUUUCCUCAGAGAUAGUCAACUCAGUCUGAAAAGAUAGCUGUUGAUUGAGGUUGCAUCACCUUAGGGUCGGCUCCAUUUCUCAAAGAAAUCUCCAGCUUGACUCCAACAUGGUGGUCAAGGUGAGACGUCAGGAACCUUAGAAACUGUCCUUCCCCCAGAUGGGGUAACAUUCCGGCAUGGACCAGAGGUCAUGCAUCCACUUUACAGUAACAGGGCCUUCUGUAGCUCAUUUACUCCCCAGUUGUUUUGUUUUGUUUUUUUGAGGAAGAUUAGCCCUGAGCUAACUACUGCCAGUCCUCCUCUUUUUUGCUGAGGAAGCCUGGCCCUGAGCUAACAUCCAUGCCCAUCUUCCUCUACUUUCUAUGUGGGACGCCUACCACAGCAUGGCAUGCCAAGCAGUGCCAUGUCCGCACCCAGAAUCCCAACCAGCGAACCCCUGGCCACAGAGAAGCGGGAUGUGCAAACUUAACCGCUGCACCACUGGGCCGGCCUCUACUCCCCAGUUUAAAGAUUACUACAGUAUCAAGUAUCAAGUAUGCUUUUUUUGUAUUUUAGUGGGACAUCCAAGGCAACUUUACUGAUGAAAAAUAAUUGCAUGUUUUUGGCUAGCGAUAGUGGAGAUGAUACUCUAUUAAGAUAAAAGAUGUAGUUACUAUGUGGUUUAGUAUCUUUCUUGAAUAAGUACCCAUGAUCAUAAUGUAUGGGUGACUGAAGAGUGAAUGCAUACCAAAUGCAUAGAUUGAAUGAUGCUAUGGGAGGCAGUGGACAGAGCAUGUGAUUUGAGACCAACACUUGAAUAAUACAAGUGUCAUUUCACCUUGGGCAAGGACCUGUCCUUUCUGAACCUCAGGUUUCUUUCCUUCCUUCCUCCUUUUCCUUCUUUUUUUAAUAUGUGUGAAUGAGAUUAGUGGUGGUGAGGAUUAAAAACACAAUGUGUAAAGUGUUCUUUGUGGCAUUUGGCAUGUAAUAUGAUAUAUGAAAACAUGGUAGCUAUUAUUUUAUUUAUUUAUUUAUUUUGUCUGUGAGGCAGAUUGGCCCUGAGCUAACAUCUGUUGCCAAUUUUCCCCUUUUUGCUUGAGGAAGAUUGUAGCUGACCUGGCAUCUCUGCCAACCUUCCUCUAUUUUGUAUGUGAGACCCUGCCACAGCAUGGCUUGAUGAACAGUGUGUAGUUCCAUGCCCGAGAUCCAAACCCCCAAACCCCAGGCCACCAAAGUGGAGUGCAUGAACUUAACCACUACACCACUGGGCUGGCCUCUAUUAUUUUUUUAUAGUAUGUAUUAACUAUACUGUGUUUAAGUUGAAUUAAAUACAAACAAUAAUGGGAAUUUGUGGUUAUCAUUAUCAGGAUACUAAUUUUGUGAUUUACUUAAAAAACUGAUGUGGCAUAUCAAUUUCCUUUGGCUUCAAAGGAUGCUUUCAAUGUUCUUCUCCUGGUGACAUAUCAGUAAAUUUUGUGAGAAAAUAAAGUAAUUUAAAUACGCAUUUAAUUCCAGCAUAACUUAGAGGUAAAUAUAUCUCUAUAAAAUGAAACACUUGAUGUUUUAAGUAGCUGCCUUUUAGACAGGUUCUUUCUGAACUGACCCCUCUCUGGCCCCCAGCCUCUGGUGUGUAUGGCUGGACUUGUGCUGGGCUGAAUUUCAAGAGUGAGUGUACAAAUGUUCCACAGUUUGCAUGGUGAAAGAUGGAGUGCAGGCCAAUCUUCUGCAGCUGGGAAGAGCAAUUAGCAGCUUCAUGAAUUAGGGUCUUGUUUACACUGUUGUCCAAGAUAAUCAUUUGUUUGUUUUAACUAAGAUGCUCUAUCUUCAUCAGAGGCAUCAAUCCUCAUAUUUAAAUGAUAAGGUCUUUGAAGCUCACAAAUAAUGUUUGGAUUUCACAGCAGGAACCCUGUCACAGCCCGUAUUUUCUCUCACUAACUUUGGUAAUCAAGACAUCAGUUACAUAUAUAUUUCAAAUUAUUCUUCAAACAGAUAUGAAAACAUUAUGUGAUCUAUUCUAGCAACUUUUCUGACACAGACAUGUUUUUAAAAAUGCCUUUUAUAUGAAGUCCCAGCACACAUACAUAUAUGCACACACACACGUGGCAAACACGUCCACACACAUAUGUGAAAUAAAACUUUACAAAAUAAGUCAUAGCCUCACCAAGGGUAAUGUACUCUAAUUCUUACCUACUUCAUUCUAGUCCAUUUCAUUCCAGUCCAUUUACUCCACUCCAGUCUAUGUUCUGUUUGUUUCAUUUUAAAAUUCAAGUUACAACCAACAUGAUUUACCAACAGGCCACAACCUAAAGUUUGAAAAACAUUGAUCUACAUAUAAACUUACUUGUGAUUCUGUCUUCUCUCCCAGUAUUUGUAGAAAGGAGUGCAUCUGGCAUUACUGUGUCUUUUUGAUCUUCAGCUAUGUGUGAUCUUAAUACAAUCACUAAAAUAUACAACUCUACUGAGUAAAUGCCAGUUAGUACCCCUUGAAGAGAAUGAUAACAUCUAGUGACUCAGUAAGUACUUAUUGAUGAGUCAGAUAAAUUAUUUUGGAAAUCAUGGGUGUGAGGCAUUGUUGAACUACAUCCAGCUUUCCCAGAAGAUGGACUUCUUGAAUCAGGUAGUCAGUGUAUUCCUAGAUCUGAGUUAUGCUGUUCAUAUAGGCUCAGCACGCAAGGUCAGCUUUUUUUUAAGGCAUAAGCAUUAAGAACGUGUUUUAAAAUAUGAUACUGUUAAUAUAAUAGCAAACAUUUAGUAUUUUAAACAACUGGAAAAUUAAUAUACAUUUUCUAGUUAAGAUGCUUAGUAAACAAUCACAGAAGAUAUUUAUCUUUUUAGAAACAUUUAUUAACUUCCCUUUAAGCUCCUAUACCUUGGGGGUUCCUGGAGGCCCAAAGAUAAGCAAGGCAUAGUCCCUGUCCUUGAGGAUCUCACAACCUGACUCUCAGACAACUUCAGGGCCCUGGGAUAAGUGCUGAAAUGGAGAUGUAUGCCCUGAGGGAUGUGAGUGUGAGCACAGAGGAAGAGUGGACUGUGGGGAGUGGGGAGAGGGCCAGGGAUUUGAUAGGGAAGAGGUCACUUCUGAAUCUCAUUUUGUUGGUUAAUAUAUAGGUUUAAACCAGCGAUCCCCCCCUCACUGCUUUAAUAUAUAUAUUAUAAAAUGAGUUUUUACAAUAUAUAUUGUAAAAUGAGUUUCUCCAUUGAGGAAGCCUUUGGAGAAUGGAGAUGGCUAGGGUGUGGCCCCCACUGGUGGAAGGUCUUCCUGCUUUUUACUAAAAGCACCAUACCAUUCAGGAGUAGCUCAGUCCAGAAACACGUGGGAUAACAAUGAGGCCUGGAUGCAUAAAGAUUCAUGUAAGUUCUUGUAAUAAAAACAUCAGAGAGCUGUUUUGUGACAAGUGUCACAGGUGUGCAUUGCACCAUCUGCUGGCAUAGGGAGAGCAUGAGACACAUUGCCAAGGGACAGAUCAAUGUUCUAGCCCUGACAAGCUUUCCUGGCAUCCUUCUCAGGGAUUCUCAGGUUAUGGCACUUGACUCUCCUUUUCGACAGGGUUCGAUGCAAGAAGUGGUUUAGUAAAUAAUCUGAGAUAUCGCUUCUAAGUUGCUGAAGAUUUUCUUUUUAAUGUUUACAUUUAAAUUUAAAUUGUUCUUUACACUUCCUCUAGGGGGACACAGGGAGCUGAUCUACUCACACACUGAACCAUGUGCAAGAUGACAUCUAUGAAUGGUGGGCCCAGCCACCAGGGGACCACUUGCUCUCCUACAUCUGUUUGUUCUUGGCUUCAGUUUCUGACUCUGGUCUGAUCCUUCUCGAUGUGAGCAGUCAAACUCUGCCUCCAACCCCUCCGCCUGCAAGCAUACCCUAAGUGUACAUGUCCACCUGAACCUUGCUCCUUUGCCCCUUGCCAUUGGCUAUAACCAGUACCCUCCUUUCUGAUCUGUGCACUCCAUGCCUGGAGAAAGGUCUGGAAAGUGAGAGCCAUACUUGGGCUCUGAGGGAGGAUGAGAGAGCGGUUGCUCCCAACCCUUCAGGGUAUGUAACAACAGGUUAAGAUAAUGAGAAACUUCCUUCUUAAAGUUAUCUUCUGGAUGAAUAAUUUUCCAGCUCAAAUGGAGAAUUAUUAACUAUUGACUGAGGACUUUGAGUAAAUGUUUCCUUUCUUUCUUGUAGGAUACCCCUCUCUUCAUCUUAUUGAAUGAGAAGGAGUUUUCUUUGAAUCGUGAAUUAACCUUAUCUAACACUUCCUUGAAAAUUAGUGAACUGCCCAAUAAGAAUUCAUUUAGUAUUCAUUGUUUCACAAACUUGGUAAAAAACAGAGAAGAGAAGUCCUUGCAACGCUAAGUUGAGUAACUCCUCAUUUUUAGGAGAUUGCAAAUUUCUUGAAGUCAGAUGCUGGACUGCAUCAGUCUUUGUAUCUCACACAAUUCCCUGCAGAAUGCCUUGCACCUAGUAGGAGCUGAGUAAAUAAUUGUUUAUCGACUCCACUGAAAUUAACAGGCCUGAUUACACACAUGAGCACACACUCAUGGAUUGUCUGGACAAUUAAAGCCAGGUCCUCCAAGAGGCCAAAUGUUUUACUUUGACCAAUUUAGAUACACAUCUUCUCAGCCUUGUAAAACAUCAAAUACUGAAUCAGAUUUAACGUUCUCUUAUCGAUUCAUUGUCAUAGUAUGAAAAUCAGUUAUUGAGCUGUGCUCAUGAGAAUAAUGAUUCAUGCUGUUAAACUUCAUUCAUGCUGUUAAACGAGGUGAGGCCUGUCCAGAAAUAGAAGUGGUGAAUGAUGGGACAUAAACAGGGAAAGUGAAAGUGACUCUGUGAGUCCUUCUUGGUAAAGUUCAUAGAGUACUGCUCAGCAUAUAGGAACACAAUAGAAGUGUUAGUUGCUAUUAUAGUUGUUUAGGUUGUUAGGUUGCUCCUCUAUUAGAAUCUUUGAAGUCCAAGGCACAUCACUGCAUGGAGUAGCACAGAGAAAUCAGAAGACUUGUAAAUUUCUUUUGGCCAGCUAGAAGAUUUCAAAAAUCAACAGUAUUCAAUUCUAAUUGACCUUAUUAUGUCCUGCUUGGUCCCCAAAAGAGUACUUUAAGUAGAAAAUAAUAAUAAAUAUUUCCUGGGGAGAAAGGGAGGCAUUAUUCUUGCCUUUUAACUUAUAUAACCUUGGGCAAGUUUCUUAACCCCACUGAGCCUCAGUUAUCUAAUCUGUAUAAUGGAAACAGUGACAGCUAACUCAUAGUGAUUGUGAGAGAGUAAAUGAGAUGAUUUGUAUAAGCUGCUUAGCAUUUUAUAGAAAUUAAUAUCUUACCAUGAUACCUUUAACGUCUGCUGUGUAUCAGGCAUGGUGUUCACUGCUGGUGGUUUUGAAAUUACAUUUGGGGUUGUAAUUUUCAGAGAUGCCUGCAGGUAGACAUACUUUCAGUUUGAGAUUAGAGGAUUAUGUCACCUAUUAGAAACCGCUGUGAAGUUGAGGUAAAAAACAGCAUCAGAUUUCAUGUAUAGGUGAGAAUUCACAACUUUGGAGAGAGUCAAAGAUACUUUUUUAAGUGACCAGAAUUAUAUAUGUGGUGAUAUGAAAACUAGUAACUCAGAAGCAUGCAUUUGCAUACAAGUACAUAUUGUAUGUACAAGUUUUAAUAUCUUUUUAAAUAUUGCAAGGUUUGGGUGAGGAAUGAGGUGUCGGGGUUAGAGGAGGUGACUUAGAGGAGCUAAGGAGUGUUUUAAGCCAACCAGUGAUUCUUCACCUGGGUUUUAUUACCACCAAAAUGCAACUGCAACCUUCCGAACGGAUGCUGCAAGUAGGGUUCCGGGAAGCUGACCCUGGAGUUCAGUGUACGGGAUGUUUACUGUUCUUGGAACCAACACCAUGGGGAGGGAGGGAAGGGAGCAGGAGUGGGCAGAGGGAGAAGGUAAACCACAGCUCAGGCCAAAGCAUGAGAACAGCCUUGGUCAGCUCCAUGGGCUGCUCUGCAGCUGGAAUGGCCUUCAGACUGUCUUGCUAGGGUUGAGAUGGCCAAGACUUUUACUCCCACUUCAAUCAGUUGUUGAAUGUGGACUACCCUAGGAAUGAGGAUGGCUUUGGGUGACUCAGCUCUCUGCAGCUGAAAUGAUCCCUCAAGAGGUACCAAGUCCUUCUAGAAGGGGGAUCUGUGUCUACUACUGAGAUUGACCAGAAAGGUAAAAAAUUAACAUCAUGAUACCCUAGCGCAAGUGUAUCUCAAAUCCUAUCCCACUGUUGGAUAAAAAUUGUCUUGCCUCACUCCUGGGGAGAAAAGCUUUACUUGAUGUGGGUCGGUUUUUUCAAAGAAGCUGCAGUCUCAAAGAGGUUUUCAAACCUCUCUCAGUCUCCCUGGAAAUAAUAGUCCAUCAUCAACAAAUCAGAGUCUCUCCCAUCUGGACUGAAGCCCAGUUUUGGUGCAUAGUAUUUGUAUCUAAGAUGAUUUAAUCCCAGAGAAAAUGUUAUGCAUUAAACUUUUUAUUAUGGAAUUUUCAAAACAUGCACAAAAUACAGAUAACUGAGUAACAAACCCCCAGGUACGCAUCACGGCAUGUCAAUAUUUUGCCCUCCUCAUUCCGGAGGAAGUUUUAAUAGCAUAAAGCAUCGCCUCCUGUGUUGAUCUGAGAUAGAUCCGGACGGAUGUGUCCUCAGAGUAGGGUGAGAUUUCACAAUGUUUGAAGUCAUGAAUGUCUCUUAAUAGCACUGACGUGAGUGCUGUUGAAGCUAUCAGAGCCGUGCUUCUGGGAAGCAGUGUACCUACCCCCACGGACCUUCAGAGCAGUGCCGAGCCAUCCACUCACAUUUCCACUGUCCUGGCUCUGUAGUUUGGCUGUGGGAAUUGUAUUUGAACCUGGAAUGUGUGUCGAUGCUUGAGGCUGUCUCAAUAUUCCGUAGCACCCAAUAAGGCCAUGCUGUGGGUCAGGCCAAGAAAGGUGCAGGACAGUUCACGUGUUUGCUUCAUUUUCGUAAUUAUAUUGUGCUGAGGGGCCUCCUGGAAAUUGGUGGACGUGGAAGUGACCUGCCAGCCUCCUGUGCUCUCAGCAAUAUUUCAGCCCAACAUAAAACCCAAAUCAAAAUUUCUGUUUAGGAAAGGAAUAUCUUAAGGAAAUUCUACAGAGAGUUUCAAAAGCAAUGUUGGGGAUCUUAUUAGAACCCUGUGACGUGAAUAUCCAAACCAUUUCUGACUCCUUUGCAAGUUGAGGUCACCAGGUAGGUCUGCCUAAGCAUUCAGGAUCAUGUCCCAACCCCGUUAGGCCCUGCCUUUGCCAGGAUCUGUCCUGAGAAGAACAGCCCUGGCAUGCCAAGGAGUGAAUCAGCAGUCCACUUUGCUCCUGCGAAUCGAGCAGGAAUUUGUUGGUUGUUUGGCCCCAGAGCAGGUGGCGGUGGGGGUUGUGGCGGUUGCAUUUCCUCUUUGAGGUGGGGGCUCAGCUGUUUCCUUGGUCACCCGCCCCUAGUAAGUGCUUGGAGGAGGCAGGAGGCCAAGAAUACAGCUGAGACUUGAGCUGCAGCCAACUUCCAGCAGCUGCUACUCUGUUCUCUGAGCUGGAACCAACUCCAGGCUGCAAUGUGGCCUGAUCUGGCAUUUGGGGAGGGGCCUGAGAGGAGUGUCACUUGUACAUUCUGAGUGACUUAACCCACCUGCUAUUUGUGUGUGUGUAUGUGGCCUAAUUUAAGUGACACUUCUCCGACAUUCAAAUUACAUGAGCAAUUUUAGGUCAGUGAAAAAGGCAAAAGACUUAUAGUCUUUUAGGGUCAACGGAUUUGCAGAUCUUAAAGGAAUUAUUUUGAAAGAUAAAGCAGAGAGUACCAUCCUAACUCAGAAUGUGUGUCUUUGAUAUGAGCAUAUUUUGGUUUAUAUUCUUGUCUCUCUACAAUAUGGACAAAAGCAUCUUGGAAAGGAUGCUGGACUAACAGCAAGAAGAACCUAGUUGUGUGGCCUUUACAAAGAUAGAUAUGUGAUUUUGGACAUUGUCGUUGCCCUUGGCCUAAGUUUUUUGUUUAUUUGUUUAUUCAUUUAAUAAGCUAACUGAAGAAAAGAAAUCUCGUAUAUCAGAUUAUGGGAGCUUAAGUUUUGGGGAUGUAAAGAAGUUGAAGUAAGGGGAAAGUUCUGGGCAAAUGCUAUAUGUGGGCCCCCUAAAAGAAUGUACAGAAUCAAAGCAUGUACUUAGAUAACACGCACACGCAGAUCUAUGUAUCUAUUUCUACAUAGCAAUAGUUGAGAGGUCUUUUCAAACGGCCUAAUAUAGAGUUGUUUUAUGUAAUGUAAAUGUAUCAUUUGGUGAGAAGAGAUCUUAAAUAUUCAGGAGUUAGUUAUUUUCUUUAUUGGAGAUACAUGAAAAAAAUUCUCUGGGUAAACGUCACAUGAGUUCUCGAAACUAUCCCCCUAUGUAAAAGCAAUAUUGUUGAUAAAGAGCCACUUAAUGAACUCUACCCAAUUUUUUAAACAAUUAAUUCAACUUCCGCCACAAGACUGGGUACCCCUUGAGAGGGGGCUGUAUUCUCGUCAUUUUGCACCCCCUGUCCUAGUAAGAUGUUUAUCAAGGGCAUGUCGAACAAAUGAAAGCUAUUCAAUUUUUCCUGUUAUGGUUUUGAAAGGAAAAAUGAUGAUUCUGUGUGUUAUUGUGAUUUAAAAAACAUCCAGAUCCUUGCUCAUAGUGUAACAGCUCAACUGAUCUUUGCCUGUCUUCUCAGAACCUUGGCUCCAACCUUGCCCCUCAGAGAACAGUGGCAGCAGGCGGGAGCUGUUUAAAAGUGAAAAUUUAUAUGGGGCCUGCUCAGUAAAAGGGACUAGUAGAUAGUACAUAUGGAGAACGCUGUCAGUGAUUACAGAUGUCACUCAUGUACCCUUCCCUGGAUCCAAACCUAUGAAGCAGAAGGGAAUCACAUUUCUUUUAAGGAAGUUAUAGGGUCUCCCUAAAACCUAUUAAUUUCCCCUAAAACUUUUCGGUUGAUUCCUUACAGAAGGAAGUAAGCUUAGAACAGAAUAUUCAAGGCAGUGGCUCUAUAUAAAACUAUUCUUGAAUUUUUAAGAAAUUUUAGCCCAGUCUGACUUUUAAUUGUUCUUGACUUUGCUUUUAAUACGUUUAAGUUGUUUUGAUUUUGAUGUUUAUUCCAAGCACAAC
ensembl:lncRNA